rnacentral:lncRNA from 1 species
UAAAAUCGAAUAUGUUGGACGAAUAUGUCCAGACACGAAAGUGGACACGUGUUAAUAUGUAAUUGGAUGCGGGAGGGAGAGACAUGGACGGAAUUCCUAACGGCGUGGGGUCUCAAGGUAAGGUCGGAUACACGUUAAUCGUGAGUGUUUCCACUCUCCAAAUUCUGAUUGCGAAGAGUCCACGUUAAGUCUCCGUUAAUCACUGUUGAUUGGAGGAAUUAGGAAUAUGCCGAAGGAGCGAGGAACAUAGCAAGAUUGGGUGUUGGCGAGUGCACCGAAAGUUCGUGUGCGUGUUUAUGACAGGCAAUUUAUUUGUCGGUGGAUUAGAAACGGGAAUUAAAAGAAAAGGAUAUGUAAAUCUUUGAAGUGAAUAUUCGUUUUCCUUUCCAGAAUUUGUCGUGGUUAAUGUUAUUUGGAUAACAAAUAUUAUUAGAAAUCUAUUUGUCUUCUAAAAU